UAACGCGUGAGAAACCUGCCUUUCUAAAGGGAUAGCCUCGGGAAACUGGGAUUAAUACCUUAUGACACUUAAAUAUCGCAUGAUAUAUAAGUCAAAGCGUAAAGCGGUGAAAGAUGGUCUCGCGUCCCAUUAGUUAGUUGGUGAGAUAACAGCUCACCAAGACAUCGAUGGGUAGCCGGCCUGAGAGGGUGAACGGCCACACUGGAACUGAGACACGGUCCAGACUCCUACGGGAGGCAGCAGUGGGGAAUAUUGCACAAUGGAGGAAACUCUGAUGCAGCGACGCCGCGUGAAUGACGAAGGCCUUCGGGUCGUAAAAUUCUGUCCUUGGGGACGAUAAUGACGGUACCCAUGGAGGAAGCCCCGGCUAACUACGUGCCAGCAGCCGCGGUAAUACGUAGGGGGCGAGCGUUGUCCGGAAUUAUUGGGCGUAAAGGGUUCGCAGGCGGUCUUUUAAGUCAGAUGUUAAAUGCAUAGGCUCAACCUAUGAGUGCAUUUGAAACUGGAAGACUUGAGUUAAGGAGAGGAAAGUGGAAUUCCUAGUGUAGCGGUGAAAUGCGUAGAUAUUAGGAGGAAUACCAGUGGCGAAGGCGACUUUCUGGACUUUUUCUGACGCUGAGGAACGAAAGCAUGGGGAGCAAACAGGAUUAGAUACCCUGGUAGUCCAUGCCGUAAACGAUGAGUGCUAGGUGUUGGGGGGUCAAACCUCGGUG
rnacentral:rRNA from 1 species